UAAGCUUUAAAUUUUAUAAUUAAAGAUGCAAACAUAUUUUAAAGACAAAAAUUUCCAAUAUUGAAACUGCCAUUCUAGACAUUAUUUAAAUGUUCGCUCUACUCUCACUGAGGCCUUUCAAUGGAUGUGGUUUUUGUCCUAGGCCCUGGAAGAUGCUAAACCCUAGAAGGUGAAGUUUGAUGGGGGAAGUUGAGUGAUGUGGUUUUUGUCCUAGGCCCUGGAAGAUGCUAAACCCUAGAAGGUGAAGUUUGAUGGGGGAAGUUGAGUGCUUUAGGAGAGGCGGAAUUUUUAUGGGAGAGGAACUUGGUGUAUGCAAACCCUAGUGAAGAAUAAGAAACUUGGAUAAUGGCACUGAAUUCGUCAUCAAUAACCCAAGUGGCAAUCGAGUUUUAAGCAGGCUGAGAAGAGUAGGCUCUGAUCGUUUGGUCACCAUCGACGAAUUUUAGACAGACAUUGGGCGCUCUCCAUUUGUGCAACAUUUCAUGCGACGAGAUCUUGUUGAGUCUCGCAUUUCUAUAGAGGGUUUGAAGAGAAAGAAGGGUUGGUUGAGAAGCUUGAGAGUAGCAACAAGCAUUCUGAAGAGGAACAAAGAGGGUGGUAGUUCUAGCAGGUCAUGUAAUUCUGAAAAUACUUUUGGCUCAUCAAAUUCUGCGAACUCAAUUCACCAAAUGCAUCAUAGUGUGAGAGUUUGCCAUUGUAAAAAGCUGUGUAAAGAGUUCACACUCUUUAAGGGAAUAUGUGAAAUCUAUUACGAGCAAAAUGGCUGUGAAA